rnacentral:rRNA from 1 species
UAACGAAUCUUCCGCAAUGCACGAAAGUGUGACGGAGCGACGCCGCGUGUGGGACGAAGUUCUUCGGAAUGUAAACCACUGUCAGGGGAAAGAAAGUUCUGAUCUACCCCAGAGGAAGAGGCGGCUAACUCUGUGCCAGCAGCCGCGGUAAUACAGAGGCCUCGAGCGUUAGGCGGAAUCACUGGGCUUAAAGCGUGUGUAGGCGGACUUCUAAGUACCUUGUGAAAUCCCACGGCUCACCCGUGGAACGGCUGGGUAUACUGGUCGUCUUGAGCCAUCUAGGGGCUACCGGAACAAAUGGUGGAGCGGUGAAAUGCGUAGAUAUCAUUUGGAACGCCAAUGGUGAAAACAGGUAGCUGGGGAUGUGCUGACGCUGAGACACGAAAGCCAGGGGAGCGAACGGGAUUAGAUACCCCCGUAGUCC